UGGGGAAUUUUGGACAAUGGGCGCAAGCCUGAUCCAGCAAUGCCGCGUGCAGGAUGAAGGCCUUCGGGUUGUAAACUGCUUUUGUACGGAACGAAAAGCCUCUCUCUAAUACAGGGGGUGAUGACGGUACCGUAAGAAUAAGCACCGGCUAACUACGUGCCAGCAGCCGCGGUAAUACGUAGGGUGCAAGCGUUAAUCGGAAUUACUGGGCGUAAAGCGUGCGCAGGCGGUUUUGUAAGACAGUGGUGAAAUCCCCGGGCUCAACCUGGGAACUGCCAUUGUGACUGCAAGGCUGGAGUGCGGCAGAGGGGGAUGGAAUUCCGCGUGUAGCAGUGAAAUGCGUAGAUAUGCGGAGGAACACCGAUGGCGAAGGCAAUCCCCUGGGCCUGCACUGACGCUCAUGCACGAAAGCGUGGGGAGCAAACAGGAUUAGAUACCCUGGUAGUCCACGCCCUAAACGAUGUCAACUGGUUGUUGGGGAUUUAUUUCUUCAGUAACGAAGCUAACGCGUGAAGUU
rnacentral:rRNA from 1 species